rnacentral:lncRNA from 1 species
AACUUUGAAGGGACAUCGUACCUCGAUGCCUCCGACUUCGCAAAUGAGUUGGACUAGAUUUCUCCUGAAGAGAGCCGAAAUGCUUAUAAUAAGACUAUUGAAUAGUUUUCAAUAUUGUCAUGUAUAAUUAUUACAUUUCCUGUUUUAAACAAAUAAUGAUGUUUCAACAUCACUUUAAUGUAUAAUUAUUGUGUGUUUCCUUAUAUAAUUAUUAUAUGAAUGAAUUUUAUGUCUUCUUUUGAUAAUA